UUCCUCUUUCACGCAUAAUUUCUCUCUCCUCGUUCAAGUUCAUCCUAACUUAGAAAAUCGAAAAUCCCAACAAAUUUGAAAGAUUUUAGAGAGAGAAGCAAUACUAUGGCAGUAGAAGAGCUUGAGAAAUCAAUGGCAGCAACUGAGAUUGAAGACUAGAGAAAAGACGAUGAUGAUUUGGAGGAAGGCGAGAUUAUCUCUUUUUAUCUUUGUUUUUCAAUUUUAUUAAUUUGAUUGCGAAUUUAUUGAAUUUGGUUGUUUGAAUCUUUUUGUGAUGUGGGUGAUUGAAUUAGGGUUUUGAUUUCGUUUUCUUGGAGAAAUGUUAUGUGGGUGACUAAGGUUUUCUUGUGUGAUUUUGUUUAGUUUGAUUUCUUGUGUUAGUUUCUUGAUUAGCGUAGCUAAUUGUUGAUCAUUAUUCUUGGAUUAAGGAAACAUGAGUGUUGAAUUUGUGAAUCAGGUUAAUGGUUUCUGUGAACAACUUGAUUUUUCGAGGCAUUUGGUAGGAUUAGUGAGGGUUGCUUGUGAUAUUUAUGGGUUUAAUAGUCUAAUAGCGUCAACUUUUUAACUGUCAUUUGGUAUAUUGUUGAUGAUAAUAUUUAGGGGAAGAGAAGGAUUUAGCUCUUCCAUACAAAUUGGAGCAUUCUUUUCGGAUAUUGGAAGAACCAUUUGUACUGUUACCGGAAUACAAGGUUAUUGGAUCUUCUUGCAAGAACAAUAUCAUAGGUCUAUUGGAUAAGUGACACUAGUUAAGAAAUUAUUCAUUGAAUUUUGGCUGUUGAUGAAUAUUACAUUUCUGAUAUCCAUGUUAUUGAUGUCCCAAUAUUACGUUUUGCUCAUCAAAGUGCGCUAACUCAUGCCUUUUAAAUAUAGGGGAUGGAUGAAGUGAUAGAGGUUUAAUAGUGUAAAAUUGCAAAGUAGCUCAUGUCUUAGGUUAUCAAGAAUUGUCUUAUGUCUUUACUCUCGGCAUGUGGCAUAUUAGAAUGAUAUUGAGAAAUCUGAACUAUAGUUUGAAAUUUUUACUUAGUAUGAAAAUAAGAGUUAGCAACAAUUUGAACAUGUUGUAGACUUUAAAGUUUUAUUCUUUCUAAUUAUAUGAUUAAGAUACAUGUCGUAGGGGCAGAUUUUCACCGUUUCAAGAAUAAAAUUUAGCCUAAAUGGGAGGAUCCAAUUUGUGCUAAUGGAGGCAAGUGGACAAACAACCUCAGACCUACAUGAACUUAUGUGGCGAAUCUGAAACUGGUGCUAAUCAUUGUUCACUUGAUUGUAGACGGGUCCUCUAGUAGCAUAUUACAAGCUACCUCUAAAUCGAGUGAUGGUGGCCAUUGCUAAUCAUGUGGCGUACUUUGGCUUCAACACAAUGGUGGUCAUGGCAGUCACAAUGGGUAUGCUCUCAAACUUUAGGGUUUCACUUGUAGCUGCUUCCUUUUUCUUUCAGAGUAUCAGAACAAUCAUGAUGUAUCUUCAUUUAUGCAUAUUAAAUUCAGGUAUCUCAUGUUCAGUUGUCAA